rnacentral:sRNA from 1 species
UCUGGGUGUGGUGGUGCAUGCCUGUAAUCCCAGUGGAUUGGGAGGCUGAGUCAGGAGGAUCUCGGGUUCAAAACCAGCCUUAGCAAAAGUGAGGUGCUGAGCAACUCCGUGAGACCCUGUCUCUA